CGUGGGUAACCUGCCCAAGAGAUCGGGAUAACACCUGGAAACAGAUGCUAAUACCGGAUAACAACGGAUGAUGCCUAUCAACUGUUUAAAAGAUGGUUCUGCUAUCACUCUUGGAUGGACCUGCGGUGCAUUAGCUAGUUGGUAGGGUAACGGCCUACCAAGGCGAUGAUGCAUAGCCGAGUUGAGAGACUGAUCGGCCACAUUGGGACUGAGACACGGCCCAAACUCCUACGGGAGGCAGCAGCA
rnacentral:rRNA from 1 species